rnacentral:snRNA from 1 species
GAAUGUAAAGGCUAUCUGGCUGCGACAUCUGUCACCUCAUUGAUCGCCAGGGUUGACUCGGCUGAUCUGGCUGGCUAGGUAGGUGUCCCCUUUCUCCCUCACCGCAGCUUCAGGAGGGAUGCACCUGGAGCUGUGCUGCCCUGCUAGAACCUCAAAACAAGCUCUCAAGAAAAAAAAAAAAAACAUAAUUCUCAAAAGUAUAACUUUUGUGAACACAUCAGAGAGUAGAUGUUAUAGGACAGCUGGGUAUAAAAUAGAAGGAAUGACAGUUAUUCUCAGGGUGAGCCAGGAUGAACACUGGCUCAGCCCU